GAAGAUGUGGCUCAGUGGUAGAGUGCUUGUCUUGCAUACAUGAGGCCCUCCCUGGGUUCAAUUCCUCAGCACCA
rnacentral:tRNA from 1 species